rnacentral:tRNA from 2 species
GCGGAAGUGGCGAAAUUGGUAGACGCACCAGAUUUAGGUUCUGGCGCCGUAAGGUGUAAGAGUUCAAGUCUCUUCUUCCGCACCA